rnacentral:rRNA from 1 species
GGAUUGGAAAUGGGCGCAGCCUGAUCCAGCCAUGCCGCGUGAGUGAUGACGGCCUUAGGGUUGUAAAGCUCUUUCGCUCGGGACGAUAAUGACGGUACCGAGAGAAGAAGCCCCGGCUAACUUCGUGCCAGCAGCCGCGGUAAUACGAAGGGGGCUAGCGUUGUUCGGAAUUACUGGGCGUAAAGCGCGUGUAGGCGGGUCGUUAAGUCAGGGGUGAAAUGCCAAGGCUCAACCUUGGAACUGCCUUUGAUACUGGAGACCUUGAGUCCGGGAGAGGUGAGUGGAAUUGCGAGUGUAGAGGUGAAAUUCGUAGAUAUUCGCAAGAACACCAGUGGCGAAGGCGGCUCACUGGCCCGGAACUGACGCUGAGACGCGAAAGCGUGGGGAGCAAACAGGAUUAGAUACCCUGGUAGUCCACGCUGUAAACGAUGGAUGCUAGCCGUUGGGGAGCUUGCUCUUCAGUGGCGCAGCCAACGCUUUAAGCAUCCCGCCUGGGGAGUACGGUCGCAAGAUUAAAACUCAAAAAAAUUGACGGA